GAUGAAGAACGUAGCGAAAUGCGAUACUUGGUGCGAAUUGCAGAAUCCCGUGAACCAUCGAGUCUUUGAACGCAAGUUGCGCCCGAAGCCAUUAGGCCGAGGGCACGCCUGCCUGGGCGUCACACGUCGUUGCCCCCCCAUCUACUCCUUCGGGAUUGCGGGGGGCGGAUGAUGGCCUCCCGUGCGCCUCGCCGCGCGGUUGGCAUAAAUGCCAAGUCCUCGGCGACGCACGCCACGACAAUCGGUGGUUGCGAAACCUCGGUUGCCCGUCGUGUGCGGUCGUCGCGCAUCGAGGGCUCGAAAAAAUUGCCGGGUUCCGGCUCGGCUUUCAACGCGACCCCAGGUCAGGCGGGGUUACCCGCUGAAUUUAAGCAUAUCAAUAAGCGGAGGA
rnacentral:misc_RNA from 1 species